rnacentral:rRNA from 1 species
AUGGGAACGCGAAGAACCUUACCUACUCUUGACAUCCAGAGAACUUUCCAAAGAUGGAUUGGUGCCUUCGGGAACUCUGAGACAGGUGCUGCAUGGCUGUCGUCAGCUCGUGUUGUGAAAUGUUGGGUUAAGUCCCGCAACGAGCGCAACCCUUAUCCUUGUUGCCAGCGGUUAGGCCGGGAACUCAAAGGAGACUGCCAGUGAUAAACUGGAGGAAGGUGGGGAUGACGUCAAGUCAUCAUGGCCCUUACGAGUAGGGCUACACACGUGCUACAAUGGCGCAUACAAAGAGAAGCGACCUCGCGAGAGCAAGCGGACCUCAUAAAGUGCGUCGUAGUCCGGAUUGGAGUCUGCAACUCGACUCCAUGAAGUCGGAAUCGCUAGUAAUCGUAGAUCAGAAUGCUACGGUGAAUACGUUCCCGGGUCUUGUACACACCG